rnacentral:rRNA from 1 species
UGCCAGCCGCCGCGGUAAUACGGAGGGAGCUAGCGUUGUUCGGAAUUACUGGGCGUAAAGGGCGCGUAGGCGGCCUGAUUAGUCAGAUGUGAAAGCCCUGGGCUUAACCUAGGAAUUGCAUUUGAUACUGUCAGGCUAGAGAUCGAUAGGGGAAAGCGGAAUUGCGAGUGUAGAGGUGAAAUUCGUAGAUAUUGGGAAGAACACCAGUGGCGAAGGCGGCUACCUGGUCCGGAUCUGACGCUGAGGCGCGAAAGCGUGGGGAGCAAACAGGAUUAGAUA